rnacentral:rRNA from 1 species
UACGGAGGGUGCAAGCGUUAAUCGGAAUUACUGGGCGUAAAGCGUGCGCAGGCGGUUUGUUAAGUCUGUUGUGAAAUCCCCGAGCUCAACUUGGGAAUUGCAAUGGAUACUGGCAGGCUAGAGUACGGUAGAGGAAGGUGGAAUUCCCGGUGUAGCAGUGAAAUGCGUAGAGAUCGGGAGGAACACCAGUGGCGAAGGCGGCCUUCUGGACCAGUACUGACGCUCAUGCACGAAAGCGUGGGGAGCAAAC